UCCUAAUGACUGCGAUAAACAACCACACACCUCCUCGGCACCGGCUCUGUGAAAGACUCGUGAAGAUGAAAAACCACUAGAGUAUGCACCGCUGGCAGAGGCAGACCAGCGGGGAGAUGAGAGUCACAGAGUGCGCUGGCAGACCGGCGGGGAGACUCGUGAAGACGAAAUAAAGCAGUAAGAGAAC